GACGAACGCUGGCGGCGUGCUUAACACAUGCAAGUCGAACGGAAAGGCCCUGCUUUUGUGGGGUGCUCGAGUGGCGAACGGGUGAGUAACACGUGAGUAACCUGCCCUUGACUUUGGGAUAACUUCAGGAAACUGGGGCUAAUACCGGAUAGGAGCUCCUGCUGCAUGGUGGGGGUUGGAAAGUUUCGGCGGUUGGGGAUGGACUCGCGGCUUAUCAGCUUGUUGGUGGGGUAGUGGCUUACCAAGGCUUUGACGGGUAGUCGGCCUGAGAGGGUGACCGGCCACAUUGGGACUGAGAUACGGCCCAGACUCCUACGGGAGGCAGCAGUGGAGAAUAUUGCACAAUGGGCGGAAGCCUGAUGCAGCAACGCCGCGUGCGGGAUGACGGCCUUCGGGUUGUAAACCGCUUUCGCCUGUGACGAAGCGUGAGUGACGGUAAUGGGUAAAGAAGCACCGGCUAACUACGUG
rnacentral:rRNA from 1 species